rnacentral:rRNA from 1 species
CAUGCCGCGUGAGUGAAGAAGGUCUUUGGAUUGUAAAGCUCUUUUAUGGGGGAGGAUAAUGACGGUACCCUAGGAAAAAGCUCCGGCUAACUUCGUGCCAGCAGCCGCGGUAAUACGAAGGGAGCUAGCGUUGUUCGGAAUAACUGGGCGUAAAGGGUGCGUAAGUGGUGAUAUAAGUCAGUUGUGAAAGGUCUGGGCUUAACCUGAGAUUGGCAAUUGAUACUGUAUUACUUGAGUAUGGAAGGGGAGAACGGAAUUGCGCAUGGAGAGGUGAAAUUCGUAGAUAUGCGUAGGAACACCGGUGGUGAAGACGGUUCUCUGGUACAAUACUGACACUGAGGCACGAAAGCGUGGGGAGCAAACAGGAUUAGAUACCCUGGUAGUCCACGCCGUAAACGAUGAGUGCUAGAUGUCGGGACGUUAAGUUUCGGUGUCGAAGUUAACACGAUAAGCACUCCGACUGGGGAGUACGGUCGCAAGAUUAAAACUCAAAGGAAUUGACGGGGACCCGCACAAGCGGUGGAGUAUGUGGU